rnacentral:snoRNA from 1 species
CCAUUUCUUCAUUUUUUAAAAAUGUAUUCAGAAGGCUUAAGAAAUGUAAGUGACUUCACCCCAUAGACACCUCAGCCCCGGCCCUAGUCCUGGUCUGUACUGGGAAUAGGGGGACAUGG